UGCUGGGGAAAGAAAAAACAAUGUCUUCUUGAUUAGUUGGGAAAUUUUUUCCAUGCAGGUUUACAGGGGUGGUUUAAAGUAACUGGUUACACUAGUGUUACAAUACUUUUAGUACAUUUUUUUAUUUUUUCUACUUUUCUGAGUAUAAUUAAAUUGUGGUACUUUUACUUUUACUUGAGUCAUUUAAGAAGGAUGUAUUCAACUUUGCUACAUUUAUUUUUCCCCAAAAGUACAAAGUACAAAAAAAAAUCAUCAAUGUAUGUUUCAAAACUAUAACGUGCAGUAAGAUUAAUGAGCCAAUAAAUGCGCUGGUGAUGAUGAUGAUCAUCAUCCCUGGCCUCAUCUUUCUCGGAUAUUCAGCUAUCAAAGCUGAAAGGGGCAAAGCAUCAUGAUGAGCUGCAAGCUCUGUCUUCCAAAGAAUGUGGAAAUAUCCGCAUUUCACAACUUCUCAUCUACCUUACGCAAACACAUUGAGCCAAACAAGUGCCUCAGUCCACAGCUGGUGAUCAACUUUAUUUGUGAAGGCCUUCAGCCAUUCUCAGUUGUUGAACAGCCUGCCUUCAAGACUAUGAUUAACACUCUUCAGCCUAGUCUGACUGUGAAGUAAAGACCAACUGUGCGUUUGAGAAUUCAAGAAGCAGCUAUGCAUGUCAAAAAAGCCAUAACAGCUAGGCUUAGCAAAGUGGAGUUUGUCUCAACAACAGCAGACUGUUGGAGCGUGAGCCAGAGGAGCUACAUCGGGGUCACUGGAUUGAAGAGGAGACACUAGAGCGGAAAUCUGUCGCUUUAGCUUGCAAACAUCUCAGAGGCCGCCAUACGUUUGAUAUUCUUGAAUCUUCCCUUGAUGAUAUCCACAUCCAAUAUCACAUCCGUGAUAAGAUUGUAAGAAUAACUACAGACAGUGGGUCUAAUUUUUUGAAGGCCUUCAGAGUGUUUGGGGUGCAGGAAGAGACAGCAGCUGACCAUGAAACUGAUUAUGACACUGAACAUGAAGAGGAAGCAGAGUAUCAGGACAUUUUCUCCAUUUUGGAAGCUGAUACAGGUUUAGAAUAUCACCUUCUAAAUCACCAGCGAUGUGCAUGUCACCUGUUGAACCUGGUGGCAACAUCAGAUGCUUCUGUGGCUGAAACCCAGAAUGCAACCUACAGGAAGCUAUCACGCUCUGCUUUCUAAGUGCCAUGCUUUGUGGAACAAAUCUGCAAGAUCUUCAACAGCUGCUGAUGUAGUGGAUGCUGAGUGCCACCUGCAAUUUAUAAGACCAAACCAAACGCGAUGGUGUUCACUAUACCUGGCUGUCGAAAGGGUGGUCCGUAUAAAGAUCAAGGUGAGGAGGCGAUUCGGAAUGUGUGUGCAGCAUUCAAAUUAAACAUGUUGAACCCAGCUGAGAUUGCCUUUCUGGCUGAAUAAGUAGCAGUGAUGAAACCUCAGCACUCACCAUCCUACAGACUGAAAACAACACCCACAUGGGAUGUAUGCUUCCGACUGUGUUCCAGCUAAGGGCAAAGCUGCAGAGAAUGGAGGCCACCAGUAAAUUAUGUUUACCACUGCUGCAAGUAUUACAAGAAGGCCUUGAAAAAAGAUUUGGGGAAAUGAUAAAAGACCCUGAACUAAUUGCAGCAGCAAUUCUUUUGCCAAGAUUCAAAACUUCAUGGAUAUCUGACACCCAAAUCAUUGAAACAGGUACGGCCAGGGAUGUAUAAGGGUUGGAGUUGGUUUGUCUUCCUGGAUACCAAUUUCCUCGCUGGUGCUGGUGCUUGGUUAUUGAGACGGUUUAAGCCUUUGCCUCGGACAUCUUCGAACUUGGCUCCGUCUGCUAUAUCCAGCGUUGGGUAACUGAAGUGUCACGUGAUUUGUGUCAUGUGCAGGUGCGAUGUGUCGCAUACUGUACAAACCAAUAGGGUUUCGGAAUGGUAUAUACUUCUCAUCCAACCACAAUCAAAUUCACUCUAUCCGGAUGGCGCGAUUUAUCUUGUUGGUUUUUUUUUAAUGAUGACAAGUCGAAAUGAAAACAAGUCGGAAUGAAAUAGGAGUAAUGAGGCUAUUUUUAAAAUUUUAGGAGUAGAAAGUACAGAUAAUCGUGUGAAAAUGUAAGGAGUAGAAAAAAUAUUUACUCCAUUAAAGUAUAGAUACUCAAAAUUUCUACUUAAGUAAAGUAA